GAAACCAGUCAGUUGAGGUGAAUCUCGAAGCAGUCUGUGUGUGAUUUCUUCCUGGCAUGUACAUAGGAAUACACGGCAUCUUCAACCUCACAACUUUUAAACCCAUUCACCGGUAUAUUAAAAUAAUGUUUACUUUGUCGGAAAUAAUGCGUUUGGCUUGGUCAUCGGGGUAUCGACGUCACUAAGAACUGAUGACGAUGAUGGCAUUAGUAACCUGGAUCUUACAGGAGCAUAUACGAUUUGCUGGCUACAUGGCUGUGCUGUAUUUACUCACAUUAUCAUAUGUGCAAUGCCUUCCUACAACAUCGAGUCUAACACAAGAGAGCGUUGAAACCGGCUCAUCUCCAGAUUAUCCGUCAUCGGACGACACGACUAUUUAUGAGGACGAUGAAGAU